CUGCGGAGGGAUCAUUACCGAGUUUACAACUCCCAAACCCCUGUGAACAUACCACUUGUUGCCUCGGCGGAUCAGCCCGCUCCCGGUAAAACGGGACGGCCCGCCAGAGGACCCCUAAACUCUGUUUCUAUAUGUAACUUCUGAGUAAAACCAUAAAUAAAUCAAAACUUUCAACAACGGAUCUCUUGGUUCUGGCAUCGAUGAAGAACGCAGCAAAAUGCGAUAAGUAAUGUGAAUUGCAGAAUUCAGUGAAUCAUCGAAUCUUUGAACGCACAUUGCGCCCGCCAGUAUUCUGGCGGGCAUGCCUGUUCGAGCGUCAUUUCAACCCUCAAGCACAGCUUGGUGUUGGGACUCGCGUUAAUUCGCGUUCCCCAAAUUGAUUGGCGGUCACGUCGAGCUUCCAUAGCGUAGUAGUAAAACCCUCGUUACUGGUAAUCGUCGCGGCCACGCCGUUAAACCCCAACUUCUGAAUGUGACC
rnacentral:rRNA from 1 species